rnacentral:rRNA from 1 species
GUUGCUAAUCACGUCGGGACAUGGUGAGGGUAGUGCCAUGGUAUAAGCAAGCUUAACUGCGAGACAGACAAGUCGAGCAGGUACGAAAGUAGGUCAUAGUGAUCCGGUGGUUCUGAAUGGAAGGGCCAUCGCUCAACGGAUAAAAGGUACUCCGGGGAUAACAGGCUGAUACCGCCCAAGAGUUCAUAUCGACGGCGGUGUUUGGCACCUCGAUGUCGGCUCAUCACAUCCUGGGGCUGAAGUAGGUCCCAAGGGUAUGGCUGUUCGCCAUUUAAAGUGGUACGCGAGCUGGGUUUAGAACGUCGUGAGACAGUUCGGUCCCUAUCUGCCGUGGGCGUAGGAGAAUUGGUUGGGGCUGCUCCUAGUACGAGAGGACCGGAGUGGACGCACCACUGGUGUUCCGGUUGUGUCGCCAGACGCAUUGCCGGGUAGCUAAGUGCGGAAGAGAUAAGUGCUGAAAGCAUCUAAGCACGAAACUUGCCAAGAGAUGAGUUCUCCCAAUCUAAGAGAUAGUAAGGGUUGUUGUAGACUACGACGUAGAUAGGUCUGGUGUAUAAGUGUAGUGAUACAUUGAGCUAACAGAUACUAAUUGCCCGAGAGGCUUAACU